AGGGUUCGAUUCUGGCUCAGGAUGAACGCUGGCGGCGUGCUUAACACAUGCAAGUCGAACGGGAUCCAUCAAGCUUGCUUGGUGGUGAGAGUGGCGAACGGGUGAGUAAUGCGUGACCGACCUGCCCCAUGCUCCGGAAUAGCUCCUGGAAACGGGUGGUAAUGCCGGAUGUUCCACAUGAUCGCAUGUGAUUGUGGGAAAGAUUCUAUCGGCGUGGGAUGGGGUCGCGUCCUAUCAGCUUGUUGGUGAGGUAACGGCUCACCAAGGCUUCGACGGGUAGCCGGCCUGAGAGGGCGACCGGCCACAUUGGGACUGAGAUACGGCCCAGACUCCUACGGGAGGCAGCAGUGGGGAAUAUUGCACAAUGGGCGCAAGCCUGAUGCAGCGACGCCGCGUGAGGGAUGGAGGCCUUCGGGUUGUAAACCUCUUUUGUUUGGGAGCAAGCCUUCGGGUGAGUGUACCUUUCGAAUAAGCGCCGGCUAACUACGUGCCAGCAGCCGCGGUAAUACGUAGGGCGCAAGCGUUAUCCGGAUUUAUUGGGCGUAAAGGGCUCGUAGGCGGCUCGUCGCGUCCGGUGUGAAAGUCCAUCGCUUAACGGUGGAUCUGCGCCGGGUACGGGCGGGCUGGAGUGCGGUAGGGGAGACUGGAAUUCCCGGUGUAACGGUGGAAUGUGUAGAUAUCGGGAAGAACACCGAUGGCGAAGGCAGGUCUCUGGGCCGUCACUGACGCUGAGGAGCGAAAGCGUGGGGAGCGAACAGGAUUAGAUACCCUGGUAGUCCACGCCGUAAACGGUGGACGCUGGAUGUGGGGCACGUUCCACGUGUUCCGUGUCGGAGCUAACGCGUUAAGCGUCCCGCCUGGGGAGUACGGCCGCAAGGCUAAAACUCAAAGAAAUUGACGGGGGCCCGCACAAGCGGCGGAGCAUGCGGAUUAAUUCGAU
rnacentral:rRNA from 1 species